AGAGUUUGAUCCUGGCUCAGGACGAACGCUGGCGGCACGCCUAACACAUGCAAGUCGAACGGAGAAUAUUGGAUUUAUUCAUUAUUCUUAGUGGCGGACGGGUGAGUAACACGUGAGCAACCUGCCUCUAAGAGAGGGAUAGCUUCUGGAAACGGAUGGUAAUACCUCAUAACAUAAUCAUGCCGCAUGGUGAGAUUAUCAAAGAUUUAUCACUUAGAGAUGGGCUCGCGUCUGAUUAGCUAGAUGGUGAGGUAACGGCCCACCAUGGCGACGAUCAGUAGCCGGACUGAGAGGUUGAACGGCCACAUUGGGACUGAGACACGGCCCAGACUCCUACGGGAGGCAGCAGUGGGGAAUAUUGCACAAUGGGGGGAACCCUGAUGCAGCGAUGCCGCGUGGAGGAAGAAGGUUUUCGGAUUGUAAACUCCUGUCUUAAGGGACGAUAAUGACGGUACCUUAGGAGGAAGCUCCGGCUAACUACGUGCCAGCAGCCGCGGUAAUACGUAGGGAGCGAGCGUUGUCCGGAAUUACUGGGUGUAAAGGGAGCGUAGGCGGGAUUGCAAGUCAGAUGUGAAAACUAUGGGCUUAACCCAUAGACUGCAUUUGAAACUGUAGUUCUUGAGUGAAGUAGAGGUAAGCG
rnacentral:rRNA from 1 species